AACGAACCACACAAACGUUAUUCGGAAUUACUGGGCUUAAAGGGUGCGUAGGCGGCGCAGAAAGUAGGGUGUGAAAUCCCUCGGCUCAACCGAGGAACUGCGCCCUAAACUACUGUGCUCGAGGGAGGUAGAGGUGCACGGAACUUCCAGUGGAGCGGUGAAAUGUGUUGAUAUUGGAAGGAACACCGGAGGCGAAAGCGGUGCACUGGGGCUGGUCUGACGCUGAGGCACGAAAGCCAGGGGAGCGAACGGG
rnacentral:rRNA from 1 species